UGAAUACGAGACGCUAAGGCGUCGAAGUAGUGUAUAUCAGACUUCCAAGAAAAGCUUGCACUGUCAUAGAUAAAAAAUGCCUGUACCAUAACCGACACAGGUGGGUAGGUAGAGUAUACUAAGGGGCGCGAGAUAACUCUCUCUAAGGAACUCGGCAAAAUAACUCCGUAACUUCGGGAGAAGGAGUGCCUUAUUUAUAAGGUUGCAAUAACAAGAUCCAAGCAACUGUUUAUCAAAAACACAGGUCUCCGCUAAGUCGUAAGACGAUGUAUGGGGGCUGACGCCUGCCCAGUGCCAGAAGGUUAAAGAAGUUGGUUAGCAAUUGCGAAGCUGAUAACUGAAGCCCUGGUGAACGGCGGCCGUAACAAUAACGGUCCUAAGGUAGCGAAAUUCCUUGUCGGGUAAGUUCCGACCCGCACGAAAGGCGUAAUGAUUUGGAUACUGUCUCGGAGAGGGGCUCGGUGAAAUAGACUUGUCUGUGAAGAUGCGGACUACCUGCACCAGGACAGAAAGACCCUAUGAAGCUUUACUGUAACUUGAAAUUGAAAUUGGACUUUAUUCGCGCAGCAUAGGUGGGAGGCGUUGAUUAUAAUCUUGCGGGAUUAUUGGAGCCAUCAGUGAGAUACCACUCUUGUAAUGUUAGAUUUCUAACUUUGAAUCAUUAUCUGGUCAAAGAACAGUUUCAGGCGGGCAGUUUGACUGGGGCGGUCGCCUCCUAAAUGGUAACGGAGGCGUACAAAGGUUUCCUCUGAACGGUUAGAAAUCGUAUCUAGAGUGUGAAGGCAUAAGGAAGCUUGACUGUGAGACCUACAAGUCGAGCAGGGACGAAAGUCGGUCUUAGUGAUCUGACGGUACUGAGUGGAAAGGCCGUCACUCAACGGAUAAAAGUUACUCUAGGAUAACAGGCUGAUCUCCCCCAAGAGUUCACAUCGACGGGGAGGUUUGGCACCUCGAUGUCGGCUCAUCGCAUCCUGGGGCGGUAGUACGUCCCAAGGGUUGGGCUGUUCGCCCAUGAAAGCGGUACGCGAGCUGGGUUCAGCCCGUCGUGAGACAGUUCGGUCCAUAUCCGGUGUAGGCGUUAGAAUAUUGAGAGGAGCCUUCUUUAGUACGGGAGGACCGAGAAGGACAUACCUCUGGUGUACCAGUUAUCGUGCCAACGGUAAACGCUGGGUAGCUAUGUAUGGAGUGGAUAACCGCUGAAAGCAUCUAAGUGGGAAGCCCACCUCAAGAUAAG
rnacentral:rRNA from 1 species